AACGAACGCUGGCGGCAUGCCUAACACAUGCAAGUCGCACGAGACCUUCGGGUCUAGUGGCGCACGGGUGCGUAACGCGUGGGAACCUGCCCUUAGGUUCGGAAUAACUCCCCGACAGGGGUGCUAAUACCGGAUAAUGUCUUCGGACCAAAGAUUUAUCGCCUUUGGAUGGGCCCGCGUUGGAUUAGCUAGUUGGUAGGGUAAAAGCCUACCAAGGCGACGAUCCAUAGCUGGUCUGAGAGGAUGAUCAGCCACAAUGGGACUGAGACACGGCCCAGACUCCUACGGGAGGCAGCAGUGGGGAAUAUUGGACAAUGGGCGAAAGCCUGAGCCAGCAAUGCCGCGUGAGUGAUGAAGGCCUUAGGGUUGUAAAGCUCGUUUACCCGGGAUGAUAAUGACAGUACCGGGAGAAUAAGCUCCGGCUAACUCCGUG
rnacentral:rRNA from 1 species